UACGGAAGGCAGCAGGGGGAAUAUUGGACAAUGGGCGCAAGCCUGAUCCAGCCAUGCCGCGUGAGUGAUGAAGGCCUUAGGGUUGUAAAGCUCUUUUGUCCGGGACGAUAAUGACGGUACCGGAAGAAUAAGCCCCGGCUAACUUCGUGCCAGCAGCCGCGGUAAUACGAAGGGGCUAGCGUUGCUCGGAAUCACUGGGCGUAAAGGGCGCGUAGGCGGCCAUUUAAGUCGGGGUGAAAGCCUGUGGCUCAACCACAGAAUUGCCUUCGAUACCUGGAUGGCUUGAGUUCGGUAGAGGUUGGUGGAACUGCGAGUGUAGAGGUGGAAAUUCGUAGAUAUUCGCAAGAACACCGGUGGCGAAGGCGGCCAACUGGACCGACACCUGACGCUGACGGCGCGAAAGCGUGGGGAGCAAACAGGGAUUAGAUACC
rnacentral:rRNA from 1 species